AUGGAGCCGCCUAGCAGUAGCAGGCUCUGGGCUUCUCUCUGGACCUUCAUCAAGUUCCUGCCCUACUUCUGCGGCCUCUUCAUCCUUGGGCUCAUUAAAGGUAUUCUGCUAUGCCCUUGGGCAUGCCUUAUUAUGGCAAUCGGAAUAUCUGCACUAAUUCUUGGGUUAUGGCCUAUGCAUCUGAUUUGGACAUACUACUGCAUCAUCAGAACCAGAAUGGUUGGACCUGUAGUAAAGCUUCUACUUCUUGUUGCUGCCACUGUGAUCUUGAUCUUAUGGUUGAUAGUUGGCAUCCCGGGAAGCGUUUUGGCUGGAUUAUUAUAUGGCUUUCUAGCACCAAUAAUGGCCACGUUCGAUGCAGUUGGCGAAGGCAAAGAAAAUACAUUUGUUCAUUGCUUUGUGGAUGGAACAUGGAGCACUAUUACUGGUAGUUGUACAGUGGUCAGAGAUUUGAAAGACAUGCUUUUCCACUCCUAUUUCUCAAUUAUGGAUGACCUUCGUCUUCAGACACCUUGUGGAAAGCCAUAUGAGAUAAGAUUGCUUGAUAUUCCCGGGGCGUUGUUGUCUGCUGCUUGUGGACUCAUACUGGAUGUAAUAAUGUUCACACUAAUUGCCAUCUACAAGUGCCCUGUGAUGCUUUUCAAAGGAUGGAAACGACUGAUUCAGGAUUUGAUUGGGAGAGAAGGACCUUUUCUGGAGACAGCGUGUGUGCCAUUCGCAGGUCUUGCUAUUCUUCUCUGGCCAUUUGCGGUACUAGGGGCUGUUCUUGCAUCUAUCCUGUCCAGUAUUCCUUUAGGCCUAUUUGGUGCAGUUGUAGCUUACCAGGAAUCCUCUGUAGUCAUGGGACUCUCUUAUGCUGUCUCAUCUGUGUCCAUCUUUGAUGAGUACACGAAUGAUGUGCUUGACAUGGCACCGGGAUCUUGCUUCCCAAGGUUGAAAUAUCGGAAACAGAAAAAUGAAGAUUCUUCACAUGGUGGUCAACUAUCUAAGCCAGGCUCAUUCGACAAGGAGAACCAAGAAGGAAAGAAACCUCUAAACCGUGUCACAUCAUUUAAGAACAGCAUGGAUGAGUUCAAUCCAUUCAAGAUGCUGGACCACUUAUUUGCUGAAUGCAAGCGGCAGGGAGAGGUUUUGGUGAAUGAAGGAGUGAUAACAAUGAAAGACAUCCAAGAAACGAAGUCAGGCAAAGUUGGCAGUGGGGUUCUUAACGUUGGUUUACCGGCAUAUGUAAUCCUUAAUGCACUCCUUCGAUCUGCAAAAUCUAACUCUAAUGGCCUAAUCUUGAGUGAUGGCACUGAGAUUACAUCUGAUAAUAGGCCUAAAAGCACUCUCUUUGACUGGUUCUUCGACCCUCUUAUGAUCAUCAAGGAACAAAUUAAAGCCGAAAAUUUCACAGAAGAAGAGGAAGAAUGCCUCAAAAUGCGAGUCUUGAUGGUUGGUGAGCCCAGUAACCUCAAGGUCACUCUUCCUCAUGUGCCAUCACUGAAUGAGCGGAAAAAAGCAGAAAUCGACGCAUUUGCUCGAAGAUUGCAAGGAAUCACAAAGUCGAUAUCGAGAUAUCCUACAUCCAAGCGUCGUUUCGAUGUUCUUGUGAAGUCUCUCUUGUCGGAGCUCGAGAGGACGAUGGGUGGCAGCGCGCCUGUCAAUGGAUCCCAAGCGUUAAGGUUGAGAGGCGGUAUUGCCCGAAUGCUUAGCCAGAAAUCCGUUGGGAAGACGGCAAACAUCAUGGAUGAAGAUCCAGAAGCGCAAGUGGCAAGGAAGGCUCUCACUCCAUGA
rnacentral:rRNA from 1 species